AGAAGCAAAGAGAUUUGCUGCUUGAAUCUCUGUGUGGGUGAGCUCUGCAGAGAGAGGUCUGAAUAGAGGGGAGGACCAAGGAGUUUAAAGACUGAACGCGCGCUCAGUGAAAAAGGCAGGGAUUGCACUCCCUUUUCUCUCUGGAAUAACAAUCAAAGGAAAAAAGGAGGAGAGACUGAGUUUCACUUCAUGCUUCAGCCAGAGCACACGGAUACGACAAGCAUGCCAAACUCUUUCAUCUGCCUGGGAUUGCUCUCUUCCAGAGUGGUUUUCCUUUCUAAGAUGCUGUUAAACUCCCUUCCUCAUGAGUUUCCCAUCCUUUAAAUGAAGAGGGAACCGUUCCAGUCCUGGAGAUAUCCUGAUGUCUUUUCUGCAGCGUGGGAAGGAGAUGGAAAGAAAACAGCAAGAACUGCUUGUUUGGUGCAUUCCUGGGGACUGUGCUUGCCCCUGCAGUAUCCCAGCACCACCCCAGCAACGUGUUGGGUGACGUGAGUAACAUCUGUCACACGCUGUUUGCUCUUUUCAUCCCCGUCCCAGGGGUGAGCGCUGCACCGUGGCCUUGCUUCAGAU
rnacentral:lncRNA from 1 species